rnacentral:rRNA from 1 species
UACAGAGGGGGCAAGCGUUAUUCGGAAUUAUUGGGCGUAAAGGGCGCGUAGGUGGCUUGGCAAGUGGAAGGUGAAAUCCUUCGGCUCAACUGAGGAACUGCCUUCCAGACUGCUUUGCUUGAGGCCGGGAGAGGCGAGUGGAAUUCCCAGUGUAGCGGUGAAAUGCGUAGAUAUUGGGAGGAACACCAGUGGCGAAGGCGGCUCACUGGACCGGAACUGACGCUGAGGCGCGAAAGCGUGGGGAGCAAACAGG